AACAGAAGUUAAAAUUGAACAAAAAAA
rnacentral:sRNA from 1 species